UUAAAUUGAAGAGUUUGAUCAUGGCUCAGAUUGAACGCUGGCGGCAGGCCUAACACAUGCAAGUCGAACGGUAACAGGAAGAAGCUUGCUUCUUUGCUGACGAGUGGCGGACGGGUGAGUAAUGUCUGGGAAACUGCCUGAUGGAGGGGGAUAACUACUGGAAACGGUAGCUAAUACCGCAUAACGUCGCAAGACCAAAGAGGGGGACCUUCGGGCCUCUUGCCAUCGGAUGUGCCCAGAUGGGAUUAGCUUGUUGGUGGGGUAACGGCUCACCAAGGCGACGAUCCCUAGCUGGUCUGAGAGGAUGACCAGCCACACUGGAACUGAGACACGGUCCAGACUCCUACGGGAGGCAGCAGUGGGGAAUAUUGCACAAUGGGCGCAAGCCUGAUGCAGCCAUGCCGCGUGUAUGAAGAAGGCCUUCGGGUUGUAAAGUACUUUCAGCGGGGAGGAAGGGAGUAAAGUUAAUACCUUUGCUCAUUGACGUUACCCGCAGAAGAAGCACCGGCUAACUCCGUGCCAGCAGCCGCGGUAAUACGGAGGGUGCAAGCGUUAAUCGGAAUUACUGGGCGUAAAGCGCACGCAGGCGGUUUGUUAAGUCAGAUGUGAAAUCCCCGGGCUCAACCUGGGAACUGCAUCUGAUACUGGCAAGCUUGAGUCUCGUAGAGGGGGGUAGAAUUCCAGGUGUAGCGGUGAAAUGCGUAGAGAUCUGGAGGAAUACCGGUGGCGAAGGCGGCCCCCUGGACGAAGACUGACGCUCAGGUGCGAAAGCGUGGGGAGCAAACAGGAUUAGAUACCCUGGUAGUCCACGCCGUAAACGAUGUCGACUUGGAGGUUGUGCCCUUGAGGCGUGGCUUCCGGAGCUAACGCGUUAAGUCGACCGCCUGGGGAGUACGGCCGCAAGGUUAAAACUCAAAUGAAUUGACGGGGGCCCGCACAAGCGGUGGAGCAUGUGGUUUAAUUCGAUGCAACGCGAAGAACCUUACCUGGUCUUGACAUCCACGGAAGUUUUCAGAGAUGAGAAUGUGCCUUCGGGAACCGUGAGACAGGUGCUGCAUGGCUGUCGUCAGCUCGUGUUGUGAAAUGUUGGGUUAAGUCCCGCAACGAGCGCAACCCUUAUCCUUUGUUGCCAGCGGUCCGGCCGGGAACUCAAAGGAGACUGCCAGUGAUAAACUGGAGGAAGGUGGGGAUGACGUCAAGUCAUCAUGGCCCUUACGACCAGGGCUACACACGUGCUACAAUGGCGCAUACAAAGAGAAGCGACCUCGCGAGAGCAAGCGGACCUCAUAAAGUGCGUCGUAGUCCGGAUUGGAGUCUGCAACUCGACUCCAUGAAGUCGGAAUCGCUAGUAAUCGUGGAUCAGAAUGCCACGGUGAAUACGUUCCCGGGCCUUGUACACACCGCCCGUCACACCAUGGGAGUGGGUUGCAAAAGAAGUAGGUAGCUUAACCUUCGGGAGGGCGCUUACCACUUUGUGAUUCAUGACUGGGGUGAAGUCGUAACAAGGUAACCGUAGGGGAACCUGCGGUUGGAUC
rnacentral:rRNA from 1 species